rfam:Lupinus angustifolius cultivar Tanjil chromosome LG04, whole genome shotgun sequence.
ACCAAGGAGUCUGACAUGUGUGAGAGUCGGCGAGAUCGUAAACUCGUAAGGCGCAUGGGAGAUGAUUGGUGGGAUCCCCUUGUGGGUGGCACCACUUACCGACCUUCAUCUUCUAUGAAGGGUUCGAGUGAGAGCAUACAUGUUGGGACCCGAAAGAUGGUGAACUGUAGUGACGUGCAAAUGAUUUGUCUGAUUUGGGUAUAAAGGCGAAAGACUAAUCGAACCGUCUGACUUGGGUAUAGUAGUUGGUUCCCUCUGAAGUUUCGCUCAGGAUAGUUGGAGCCCACAGGCAAGUUCUAUUGGUUAAAGCCAAUAUGAUUAGAGGCAUCGGGGGCGCAACGCCCUCGACCAUUUCUCAAAUUUUAAAUAGGUAGGACGGUGUGGCUGUUUUGUUGAGCCACGCGAAAAAAUUGAGAGCUCCAAUGGGACAUUAUUGGUAAGUAGAAUUGGUGAUGUAGGAUGAACCGGAAGCUAGGUUAUGAUGCCCAACUACACGCUAACCUAGACCUCACAAAGGUUGUGGGUCCAUUAAGACAACAUGACGAUGGUCAUGAAAGUCGAAAUCCGCUAAGGAGUGUCCAACAACUCACCUACCGAAUCAAAUAGCACCAAAAAGGGAUGGUGCUAAAGUGUGCGACCUAUACCCGACCUUCAGGGUAAGGGCCAAGCCCCGUCGUGUAGGAGGGCGGGGCAGUCAUUAAAAAACCUGGGAAGUGAGCUCGGGCAGAACGGUCAACGAUGCAGAUCUUGGUGGUAGCUUCAAAUAUUUAAAUGAGAAUAUGCAAAUAUUCAUGUGAACAUCCCUUGCACAUAGGUUAGUCGAUCCUAAGGGACAAGGGAAGUUCUUUUGAUAGCGCUCUAUGUGCGCACUCUGAAAGGGAAUAUGGUUAAAAUUCAUGAACCGGGGUGUGGCGGUUGAUGGAAACCUUAGGGAGUCCGAAGACGUUAGUGGCCCCCCAGAAAGAGUUAUCUUUUCUUUUUUAAAAGCCUAUCCAUCCUAGAAACGGUGCAGCCAGAGGUGGGGUCCAGUGCCUGGAAGAGCACCGCAUGUUGCAUGGUGCCCAGUGCGCCCUUGGCGACCCUUGAAAAUCCGUAGGAGCGCGUUCCUCCCACAGCUGAUCAUAAUCAUAACCAUAUCAGGUGUCCAAGGUGAAUAACCUAUGGUA